rnacentral:rRNA from 1 species
CAGUAGCCGCGGGAAUACGUAGGGUGCAAGCGUUGAUCGGAAUUACUGGGCGUAAAGCGUGCGCAGGCGGUUUCGUAAGACAGAUGUGAAAUCCCCGGGCUUAACCUGGGAACUGCAUUUGUGACUGCGAGGCUAGAGUGUGUCAGAGGGGGGUGGAAUUCCACGUGUAGCAGUGAAAUGCGUAGAUAUGUGGAGGAACACCGAUGGCGAAGGCAGCCCCCUGGGAUAACACUGACGCUCAUGCACGAAAGCGUGGGGAGCAAACAGGAUUAGAGACCCCAGUAGUCCCUGUCUCUUAUAC